UACAGAGGUCCCAAGCGUUGUUCGGAUUCACUGGGCGUAAAGCGUGCGCAGGCGGUCCGCAAAGUCUGAUGUGAAAGCCCCGGGCUCAACCUGGGAACUGCAUUGGAAACUAACGGGCUCGAGUGUGGCAGAGGGGGGUGGAAUUCCACGUGUAGCAGUGAAAUGCGUAGAGAUGUGGAGGAACACCGAUGGCGAAGGCAGCCCCCUGGGCUAACACUGACGCUCAGGCACGAAAGCGUGGGGAGCAAACAGG
rnacentral:rRNA from 1 species